UAUGUUAAUGUACCUAUUUCGUAGACAUUUAAAUAUAUUAUAUUCGUUUUUAAAAUCCAAAUAGGAUUUUUUAUUUUUUAGCUGUUUCUCUUGAUGAGACAAAUCAUCAUUUUGAAUAAAAACAAAAUUUAACAUACUUUCAAAUAUUAUAAUGGGAAAUAAAACAGAUUAUGCGAGUUUACUGAAGUCCACGCAAAAUUUAAAACAUUCAAUUGACGAGUUGGUUUGUAAAAAUCACAACGAUAUAGAUAUUCUAGACAUAGAACGUAUGCGGAAAUUGAUCGAAAACAUGAUUAAGGAAUAUUCAUCGGAUGCCAAAUGCAAUAACGAUGAAAGAUUGAUAUCAAAUUGCAGUACAUUUUGUGAAAUAAACGAAAAAAUCCAAAGUAAAAUGAAAGAAAUUAUUGACGUCUCUUCGAGUUUUUGCACUGAAACGGCUACAAUGAAAUGUAAUGCAAUGAAAAAAAUGGAAGAUAAUGAAGAAUGUCAAAAUGUAACAAAUGAAGACAAUGCAAACAAACGGCAAAACGAUUUACACGAAAAAUGUAAAUCACAAUUGAAAUUUUACGAAGAAUACGUCAACGAAUUAGAGUGUCGCUUAAAGAGAUUUAUCGAGUAUAUGAUAGAAGGACAGCGAAAGGAUCAGAAACACAUAAAGAAGGAAAUUUGCCUCAAAUCGACGAUAGAAAAAACGAAAAGGAAAGAGUGCUAUUACAGGGCCAUUGCACAAAAGCUGUCGGAAAAAUUGAAUUACUCGAGGAAAAAAUCGGAAGAACGUCAAAAGUGGAUCGACGGAGUGGUGUCUAAAGCCGAACAACUGAGGUGUGUUGCCGAAGAAAACGCGACGAAUUCAUUGGAACUGGCAAAAACGAUAUCUUCGUUCGUGGUCGAUCUGUCAGUGUCCAACCGGCUGCAGGAAGCGGUGACGGCGGAGGCGUGUGACGACCGAAACAGGGUGGCAAAUCCGUCCGGAUCUUCCGAGAUUGUAGACAAUGCCACUUCCGGCUGCAGUCAGCGUACAGGGGUUACGGAGGUCUCGGCGGCAGUCGUCGAUGAAACUUUUCUACGACCGAUGUCGCAUAGCACGCCUAUACGGGACCUCCCGUGCCGCCGCAACUGCCGGUACAGUUUUUCGACAGGUGACGACUCCAACGAUGACUCUGGAGACGAUGACGACGAAGAAGAUGAUCUUCCGCGUAGAAGAUGAAAACACAAAAUAAACGCCAAUUAUAAUAUUAAUAUUUAAAAAAAAAAAUUCAAGUCGGUUUGCUUCAAAACGGCCUCCACCGUCAAAUGCGGACGACCUGAAAACGACGAACCACGUCGUCGAUGUUCUAAACUUUUCCUGAGGUCGCAGAAGAGCACUGACGUGAACAACAGCGGGACGGAAACGGUGCACUGUGUUGGUGGAUCGAAACUCACCAAAAGAACGCUGGAAACGGUAGAAAUGUGUCCGGCGAACUGCGUCUGCUGCUGCAAUCGACUGAACUCCACGAAACACCAAUCAUAAAUGCCAGCAAGUUUCAUAUAAAACCAAAAAGGCGAAUAAAUUUUCUUUAAAGGACGAUGUGUUGCACGUAUAUAGCUUGUCGGGUGACUUGCCAUUUUUCUAUAAAACUGCUGCAGCUGUAAAAUACAGAUUUUCGCGUAAAUCUACUACAUCGACCCACAUUAUAAUACCGGAAGAUGGAACACUCUGAAAGACAUAAUAAUUUUAUUAUUAUGUGUUUAACACAACAAAUACCUUGUAUUAAAAUUAAAUUUUUUUUAACGUUUUCCUA
rnacentral:misc_RNA from 1 species